UUCAGGGGUAGAGUGAGUCUAUAGCAGCAAUAUAGAUGAUUGAAUGAAAAAUAAGAAGCUGUAGGUGUUUUAGACUCUGGGUUUUGAGUUCUCUCUUGUCCAGCAAGAGAGCAGAUGCAGGAUUAAAAUUUGAGAGAGACUAAUGUCCUGGAGGAGACAAGAGCCCUGAGUAAGGGUCCUUGCUCUGUUUUUAAGAUCAGAAGGCUUACAAGUGUGAUGGAAAUGCUCAAAAGACAACGAAACCGUGAACAUUAACUCAUGGGAAUGAGAUAAAGGGGGUUUUGAAGAUACGUUGUGUUAAGGGUUUGGGUCAAUACAAAAAAAAAUCCUGGCUCUGGGUGGAAGGUUGUUUACAGCAGACAUGAGGCCUCACCUCUCUUUACCUAAACUUGCUUAGGGGACAAGAAAGACAGCGCAUGCCACCUCAGGGUCAACAAGGCACCUUUCUUUUGCUAAUUAGCUCCUCGAUGGGCAACUUUGCCCUGCUGUGGUCUAUAGCCCUGUUUACCUAUUUUGGUCUUCCAGCAGCUCUCCGCUACAAUACUAAUUUGGGGGGGGGGCUUCUGCCCCAAUACCUCAUCUUGUUUACCCAAACUUGGGUGUGUUCAUUGCUAUUUCUUUAUGCCUUGUUAACCCAUCAGUGCAAGCUCAGGGAAUUCCUAAACGUAUUCCCCACAUGUAGGCACCUCUAGUAUGCACAUACAUCACGAAGGCUGCUCGCUGUUAUCCAUUAUGUUAGACAUUCCUCUUUUUUUGAUGCAGUUAGACCAAAGCUUUCAUUUGACUAAAAAAAUUUUUUUGACUUUAUAAAUUUUUAUUCUUUUUACAAAGCCUUGUCCUCUACAAAGUGCUCCUUAGCCAUCCCCACCUUGGUUUCCCUCUUCUACAAUCACUGAUAUCAGUGAUCAUUUUCUACACACAGUGCUAAUAGACGCCUUGCAUCACACAUUUCCAUUCGAGUACAAAUAUUUCUCAUUCUACAGAUUAAGAGUAUUAGGUGAUGCCUUCCAUAACUUAUUUCCUUCAUGAUGAAUACAAUGGAUGCUAUAAACAUUUCUCAAUUAAUUCACAGACACACAAUGUAAGUCCCUGUAAAAACCAAAUGAAACAACAACAAAAAAACUCUUGUAUAUAAAACUUGACCCUCCUGAGACUAUGUCAUAUAAACUUAGCCUUCUAUAUCUUACUGCUAUUUCAAUUAUUACAAAGUAGCUCAUUUAUAAUAGAUAAUGGCCAUAUUUACUCAGUAUGACUGAGAUCCAAUAUAGAAAAAUAUUUUCACUUAAAAGGAAACUUUAAAAUCUUAUUGCUACCUUUAAUUUUUAAUUAGGAAAGAAAUCCCUUUGGGGCAAUAGAAAGCACUAUACUGACGAUGUAUUUCAUCAUUGUUCCUGGCACAGAGGGCAAGAGCUGGAUUCAUUUUCAAAAUAGUAAGAAGAAAGAAAUACAUUCAAGCUUCAAACACCAAUAGUAAUUCAGAGGAAAACCAGUUAGAACGUAACGGGAAGAUAAAAGCUUCUGGAAAACAAUAAACCAAGGGUGGAAAUAAUCAUAAGUAACUCCUAGCAAACACUGGCUAAAUGUGUAUUUUCUUGUGAGACGUCAGAAGGUCCAUUGUCUGGCAGUUAUGAAAGGGUAAGAAUGAAAUAAUCGGUUCCCCAACCCGUGCCUAUUGAAGUCUUAGGGAAAAGGAUCUAUUUUACAAAUCAAACUAACCUAACAAUUUCGACUGUAUAGGUUUUCCAUUAGAAAAGUGGAAACAAUUGGGUCACUAUAUUGAGAACUCACAGAAAUGUUGUCAAACCACAAAUUCUCUUACUUAAAUUAAUUAAUUAAUCCAAUGUGUAUACUAUCACUAAAGCUUAAAUACGUAGUUACCAUGUACAUGAAUUUAAGUAGUAUAAAGGAAAAUUUUAUUAUUUGGCAAGAAAUGUAAGAACAGGAAAUGAAAAUACUGCAUAACCUGAUCUUUUGAUACAUAGAAAGAUUGAAUUUCAAGGAAAUUUAGAGAAUUUAUGAGCCUGUCUCCAAUAUACAUUGGGAAUUCUUACUUAAUUAGUGGUUAUUUAGUUUUUGCCUAUUUCCAAAAAUAGGACACUCAAGGAUGUUAAUAUUCCUAUAGGUAAUACAAGAGUAUGAGUCACGAUUGAAUAGCUAGUUUACAUAAACAUAUUAAACCUAUACACUGGUAAUUUUUAAUGUAGUCUAACUUUAAAAAAGUGUUUAUGUAUUAUUUUCAGAGAGAGGGAAAGAUUGUGCCCAAGUGGGGGAGGGACAGGGAGAGAGGGAGAGAGAUAAUCCCAAGUGGGUUCCCCACUAUUAGAGUAGAGACCAAGACCCGGCUCUAUGUCAUGAACCCUGAGAUCAUGACCUGAGCCAAAAUCAAGAGGUACAUACCUAACUGACUGAGUGGCGCAGGUUCUCCUAAUAUAUUCUGUCUUAAUUUAGUAGUUAGAUGAAGCAUUUUCAGAUAUUUUUGGUGAAAUACUGUUUCUUUUCUUUAAUCUUUUCUUAUCUAUCCAGCAACAAACUUUUGUAAAGUAAAACAAAUUGUCACGUAAUACCGAAUUACCACACACUUGCUAAAAUCUUACUCCUAAUCUCCUAAAGUCUUACUCCCAAUACCUAUCUGUUUUUGGCCAUUAAUAAACAUCUUGAGGGCCAGAAAUAAUUCACGGUCUAUACUUUGAAUAGCACAAGGUAGAUACAUUACAAGAAAACUGUGUUUUAAUUUAUUAUUAAAUUUCACAUUUUUGUACCUGUUGAUACGUUCUGGGUUGAUUUGUUCAUUUUCUCUGCUUCUUUGCUUUGCUGGGGUUUUAUUCGUUUGUUUGUUUUUUAGUAAAGCAAUGGUAUGAGAUCAAUGACUUUGUGUUCAACUGUUUGAAAGAACCCAACCGUUUGUCCUUCCUGGAGUGGACAGUCUUCCACAGGAUGGUGUAGAAGCAAAAAUGGGAGGCAUCAGCGGAGACCAAGUGGGGAGCCAGUCCUCUCAUGCCUGCCUGGGAGCAAUCAGCAAUCCCCUCAGGUGUCAACUUGAGCUGAGUGGAGAAUGUAGGUGUCUAAUUCCACCUUACUCUUUUCCCAGGAGCAGUGUCAGAAGAAGCCAGGGCGGACAGAUUAAUGACUGGGUGGAGACAUAAACGGCCCCUCUGGCGCUGAAACAAUCAGUGUAAUGACCUGCUCUAGAGUAUAAAUGAGUUCACUUUGUGGUAAUUCAUUGGGCCGUUCAGUUAGGAUUGUCCUCUUUUUUCUAGGUUUGUUACACUUCAAAUAAGGUUUCAAAAAUAAAGAACAAAGUCUUUGCUGUUUGCUUCAGAAGAGAUUAUCUGUACCCUGCAUUUUAAAAUAUGUUACUACAGGGGCGCCCGGGGGGCUCAGUCAGUUAAACAUCCGACUUCAGCUCAGGUCAUGAUCUCUCAGUUCGUGAGUUCAAGCCCUGCAUUGGGCUUAGUACUGACAGCCUGGAGCCUGGAAUCUGUUUCAGAUUCUGUGUCUCCCUCUCUCUCUGCCUCUCCCCUGCUCACGCUCUGUCUCCUCUUUCUCAAAAUAAAUAAACAUAAAAAAAAUUAAAAUAUCUUACAACAUCCAUUUACCCCAUUCUCUAGCAGGAA